GUCUUCCUCCCAGAAGCAUCAGAAUCCUGGGACUCUGGAGGAAGGAACAACUCUGUGGGCUUCUCGAUCUCUUUCCGCUUUUAUCCUGUUUCGCUAUCGACUUCAGCAGCUUAAUGCACUGGCUCGUCUCUCGAGCUACCAGGAGGGAGCUGUGUUCCACGUCCGCCUGACUGUGAAUCCGU
rnacentral:lncRNA from 14 species